AACGCGAAGAACCUUACCUGGGCUUGACAUGUAAGUGGUAGGGACCCGAAAGGGAACCGACCGGGGUUUUCCCCUGGAGCUUACACAGGUGCUGCAUGGCUGUCGUCAGCUCGUGCCGUGAGGUGUAUGGUUAAGUCCCGCAACGAGCGCAACCCCUGUCCUUAGUUGCAAACCAGUGAUGGUGCACUCUAAGGAGACUGCCUCCGUCAAGGAGGAGGAAGGUGGGGAUAACGUCAAGUCAUCAUGGNCUUUAUGCCCAGGGCUACACACGUCCUACAGUGGCCGUUACAGUGGGUUGCUACAUCGCGAGGUGAUGCUAAUCCCAUAAAAGCGGCCAUGGUUCGGAUAGUAGGCUGCAACUCGCCUACUUGAAGAUGGAAUCGCUAGUAAUCACUGAUCAGCAUGCAGUGGUGAAUACGUUCCCGGGCCUUGUACACACCG
rnacentral:rRNA from 1 species